AAAAUCAAUGGGGGAAACCCUGAAGGAGCGACGCCGCGUGGAGGAUGAAGGUCUUCGGGUUGUAAACUCCUGUCAUUUGGGAACAAUGCGUAAAUAUUAACUGUAUUUGCGUUGAUAGUACCAGAAGAGGAAGAGACGGCUAACUCUGUGCCAGCAGCCGCGGUAAUACAGAGGUCUCAAGCGUUGUUCGGAUUCAUUGGGCGUAAAGGGUGCGUAGGCGGCGCGGUAAGUCGGGUGUGAAAUCUCGGGGCUUAACUCCGAAACUGCAUUCGAUACUACCGUGCUUGAGGACUGGAGAGGAGACUGGAAUUUACGGUGUAGCGGUGAAAUGCGUAGAUAUCGUAAGGAAGACCAGUGGCGAAGGCGGGUCUCUGGACAGUUCCUGACGCUGAGGCACGAAGGCBAGGGGAGCAAACGGGAUUAGAUACCCCGGUAGUCCUGGCAGUAAACGGUGCACGUUUGGUGUGGGAGGAUUCGACCCCUUCUGCGCCGGAGCUAACGCGUUAAACGUGCCGCCUGGGGAGUACGGUCGCAAGAUUAAAACUCAAAGAAAUUGACGGGGGCCCGCACAAGCGGUCGGAGUAUGUGGCUCAAUUCGAUGCAACGCGAAGAACCUUACCUGGCCUUUACAUGCAUCUCUAAGUUGGUGAAGCCAGCGAGUCCCGAAAGGGACAAUUUGCACAGGUGCUGCAUGGCUGUCGUCAGCUCGUGUCGUGAGAUGUUGGGGUAAGUCCCGCAACGAGAGCAACCCCUGUGAACUGUUGCCACCGAGCCGUGAGGGUCGAGCACUCUGKUCAGACUGCCCCGCUUUWACGGGGAGGAAGGUGGGGACGACGUCAAGUCAGUAUGGUCCUUACGGCCAGGGCUGCACACGUACUACAAUGCCCAGUACAAUACGWUCCGAGACCGCGAGGUGGAKKWAAUYAYUWAAACUGGGCCCAGUUCAGAUUGAAGUCUGCAACUCGACUUCAUGAAGCCGGAAUCGCU
rnacentral:rRNA from 1 species